GGGGAGUUGGCUCAGUGGUAGAGCGCUUGUCUUGCAUGCAUGAGGCCCCUGGGUUCGAUUCCUCA
rnacentral:tRNA from 1 species